rnacentral:rRNA from 1 species
CAGUCGCCACGGUAAUACGUAGGUGGCAAGCGUUGUCCGGAAUUAUUGGGCGUAAAGGGCUCGCAGGCGGUUUCUUAAGUCUGAUGUGAAGGCCCCCGGCUCAACCGGGGAGGGUCAUUGGAAACUGGGAAACUUGAGUGCAGAAGAGGAGAGUGGAAUUCCACGUGUAGCGGUGAAAUGCGUAGAGAUGUGGAGGAACACCAGUGGCGAAGGCGACUCUCUGGUCUGUAACUGACGCUGAGGAGCGAAAGCGUGGGGAGCGAACAGGAUUAGAUACCCCUGUAGUCCCUGUCUCUUAUAC